UCGGCGUUUUGUGUUUGACAAGCUUAGGGUUUCAUUGUUAUUUCUUCGACUCUUCGACCUCGCCGUCUCAAACACAAUGUUCUUUUCCUGAAAUCUUCCAUUUCAUUCAACUUAUUCCUCUAAAUAUUGCCGAUCACUGUUUUUCUCAUUAAACCCAAAAACAAUGUCGACCUCUCCGUUUCAUUCAUGUCUGAAUUGGAGAGUCUUAUAGUCGGAUGAAUCCUCACCAUCACUCUCAUUUAAACUUCUUAAUCAAACUUGUAAAAUUCUUCCAUAACGUCUUCUUCCGAUGUUGUUGCUUAAUCAGCCGACGCUCUCCGCUAUCAUCGCAGUUCAUUGUCACUCGGCUUCUCUGUUUUUGGAACUCGAAAAACAUCAAGAAGUAUGAUUGUCUCUCAUCACACUGCAAGAAACUAUAUGAAGUCAAAGAAGACAAAUAAGAGUUUGAUUUCAAGGUGGUCACCGAGACUGAGCGUGAUUAUGUCCUGUUGAGCUUUAUGGCUUGGCCAAAGACGAGUCUGAUUACGGAUGAUACACAACAAGGUAAGUAAGCUUACAAGUGGAUUUAUUUUUAUGAAUCAGAAUUUUAAAAAGAACUUAUCAAAAAGAAACAUACGAAUAGACAAACCUACUGUUAGAGUUGCUAGCCUUGGCCACGCGUUGCAUGUCUGGCUCAAUUGAGAAUACCUUGGUAGAUGUAAUGAACAAUAUUUGAAAUAUCUGUUCCAGGCAUACUUUGAUGCGCCAGGGGUUUAGUAAUAUUAAGUUUUCUUUUUCCAUCUGAAGAAGAUUCUUUAACGAAAUAAGGAAAAGAAAUUAGUAUUCCUCUUAGUAUCACUAGACAUGAAAAGAAUUUUUUUGUGCUCACUUCACCACCACAGGUUAGUAUCUAACUUAGCACCAACAUCAUAUGCUCAUUUGGUAUUCCUCUUACUAUCACUAGACAUUAUAGACUGUAGAAUUUCUAUUACUGGGUAAGUUGAUAACACUGAAACAUCAAAUGGGUGGUGCUAUAUCUCAUGUUCCAAGUGCUCUUGGAAACUGCAGCGUGGGCUUCAUCCUUCGUGUGUGGAUCCUAUCAUGAUGAAAAAGCUGUUGGCAUUUCGUCUCUCUCUUUGAUGACAAGUACCGGGUGGAGAUGGCAGUAUCAGAUGCAUCCGACUCUGCUCUGUUUGAGGCUUUCGAUGAUGAGAUGAACAAGCUGACCAAUGUUCCUGCUGCAUGAGUGUCUCAAGGCAUGUUAUUUGUGAUUGUCCAGCCGGCAUGGAGGAUGCACAUAACAUUGCCCUCCCACAGUGCCUCAGAGUUAUACUGGAGAGGGCCUUAACAUUCCAGCAGAAACUUUCAAGGUUUAAUUUCUCAUCAAAACAUCAGUCAUUCACCUCAACCAGCGCUUCCUCUUCCUGAUUUUGCAGAGCAGGGAGGUGAUGACAACACCGGCAAUGAUGUUCCAGGAGCUGUAUAUAGAGAUACUUCUGAAGCUCUUUAAAUAGGUGCUCCAGUCAACAACGGCGAACCCAUUACUUAUGUUCGCAAUGGUUAAGCUUCAGAUUAUUGGAGCCUAAUGGAAUGUUGCAGACUUUUACAGCUGCUUUUUGUCGUUUUCCUUAAAAAAAUCCUUAAUAAAUAUGUGUACUUGAGCUAUUCGGCUCUGUAUUUCAGAUGACUUAGAAAAGAGCCUCCUUCAACUAUUUUAUUUGCACUUGAGCU